AUUUGCCAAAAUAAGAAGGUUGCAAAACGUCAUAAAUUUGUUUGUUAAAUAUGAUGGUAUAGCUAAUUCGUUACUUGGUCGGUUUAUAUUAGGUACAGGCGUCUUUGAUAUAAUAUACGUCAAGAUUAUAUAGGUUGGAUAAUGUCUUGAUUUAUUUUGUGAAAUAUGGAGGUGUUGCUGAAAUGUAAUUUAGUCGGAUUAUAUUAAAUGAGACACCUAUUGAUGUUACUGCUUGUAAAAAUGAUUCAAUAAUGAGCAUGUAGGUGUAUAAUGAAUAUUAAGAUACUAGUUAUUUCUCA